rnacentral:lncRNA from 1 species
CAAUUGUCCUCUUUCGGAUUUUGUUUCAGCAAUGUUUCAAAUGCUCCUGAAAUCUGGCUUUAUCGCAGCUUUAAAGGAAUGUUGAUUUUCAGGUAAACAAACAACUACUGUACUAGAGAAUAAUUUAAGUUUCAGAAACAAAGCAUAAUCAAGGCAAAUUCGCAUAUUGUGACUCUUGAUCAUGGCCCACCUUACAUGAUGCUGGAGAUAAAAGAAGAGAGAUCGUUGUUUUGCUGUGCGUUUGGUGAGAGGAAGGAAAACUGCACGUCCUGGACCACAGGAAGAAAGGCUGAUAAAUAGACUGGAAGUAAUAGCCAAGCAGCAGGAAGUCAACAGCUCCAGUUAAAGGCUUUGAUACAGCAGCGCCUUUGCACAGCAGAAACAAGAUAUAUUAAAUUUCUCUCAAAAUGGUUAUCUUCAAAGUAAACGUAAGAGUUUAAUUAUAGUGCUGAGUCAAACAUACAAGCCAAAGACCAAGCCUUGCAGCUUUUCUUUCUUCCCAGUAAAGAUUAACAUUAGUGAUUCUGGAGGGUUAAAAAAAAUAAAUAAAUAAUAAACAUGUUUUGGGCAAUAUUGGCACCUUUGUUUUAGGAGGAAAAUAUUCCAAGGAGUCAUACAAAGAAAGAUAUUUGGCAUGCAAAAUCAGCCUGCAUGUCUAUUUAAAAAACAAAAUGUACAUUUUAAACAGAAACCAGAUAUGAAAUAUAUACUUGUUGAUUUUUGCAAAAUAAAAUUAAGUUUACUUUUAUAAGC